UACGGAGGGUGCGAGCGUUGUCCGGAAUUAUUGGGCGUAAAGGGCUCGUAGGCGGUCUGUCGCGUCGGUAGUGAAAACUCAGGGCUUAACCCUGAGCCUGCUUCCGAUACGGGCAGACUAGAGGUAUGCAGGGGAGAAUGGAAUUCCUGGUGUAGCGGUGAAAUGCGCAGAUAUCAGGAGGAACACCGGUGGCGUAGGCGGGUCUCUGGGCCGAUACUGACGCUGAGGAGCGAAAGCGUGGGGAGCGAACAGG
rnacentral:rRNA from 1 species